GGGCGGUUAGCUCAGUGGUAGAGCGUUCCCUUCACACGGGAAAGGCCNNGGUUAGAGCGUUCGGUUCACAUCCGAAAGGUCGGUGGUUCGAAUCCACCCGGGUCCACCA
rnacentral:tRNA from 1 species